rnacentral:tRNA from 1 species
GCCGAUGUARUUCAAUGGCAGAACAUCAGCUUCCCRAKCUGAAUACGCGGGUUCGAUUCCCGUCACAUCGGCUCCG